AUGAUUGUAGCAAAAAGAAAAGCUAGUUCCAGCAAAAACAUACACCGGUUCCAGCUCGCCAUCGUGCUGGUUCCAGCACCGGUUGUCCCCCACGGGUUGCAGCUCCGCCUGCUCGAUGCAGCUGCCCAAACGUCAAUUGCAGCUCCGCCACCAAUGGUUGAAGCUCCGGUAGCAGCUGGUUGUAGCUCGCCCGUCGGCGCAGCGCCGUCAGAUGCAGCUCAACCCAUCGUCGGUUGUAGCUCCUCCGUCCACCGGCUGCAGCUUCCGGCGUGCCCUGUUGCAGCUCCACGGUCCGUCGUCCAUCCCUGCAACAAGAGGGGGCGUCGCGGAAUUGGAAGGACGCCGAGGCAACUAUGGGGAAAAAAGGAGAAAAGCUCGUCGAAGAGGGAGAAAUAG
rnacentral:rRNA from 1 species